CCUUCCUGGAAUCCAGGAAACGAAGGAAGACUUGGGCAGGAGCCCCCAGGGGCCUGACAGCCCCCCCCCCCCCCGUCUUGCUGCAGGACUCCUGGCCCCGGUCCGGGCCCUGCCCCAGUGCAGGGGUGCUCACGGGGAAGGCCAGCGGGGCUUCCUGCCCUUCACACCCUGGCUGCCUCCAUGCUCCCUGCAGCACAGCAGUGGCCUCCCUGCUUUGGGCUGGCCCCAUCCACUCUCGGCCCGGCUGCCUGGAUUAGAGCCGUUUACUAGUCUCUGAUGCUUGGGGGAUCAGAUCUUCAAAAACUUGACCCACAGAGAGGUGGUUGCACAGAUCGGUGGAGAAAGGACGCCCGUCUGGAAACAGGGUUUGCAGAAAGCAGGACCUGGAGGGAGACUGAGAAGACCGUCCACGGCCCGAAGACCCAAAGCUGAAGAAAUAAGAACAUUUCUGGGGGCCUGAAGGCACCCUGAGCCGUGGCCCUGAGCCUGCUGUGUCUCGUGGAGACAGUACCUACAAAAGGAGGCGCCCAUCUCAACACUGUGGGCAAGCUGGCCAGGGAGACGCCGUCCUCCUCCCAGCCCGUCUCCUUUCGCAUUAGUUGCCCAGACCCGGUUUGUGAGUGCUGGCGGCAGAAAGAACUGAGGAUGGCCUUCUCACCACGGCUGUGACCCCGAGCCCCCAUUUCACAGGGCCAUCACAUCUCUGGGAGCUUCUGUUUCCCCACCAGCCACGUGGAAAUCCCAGCUCUUGCCCCCGCCCUCCCCCGCCACUGCCGAGAGUGGAGAGAGGCGCCGUGUAAACUGUAAAGUGCUGUGCAGCAGGAAGCAGGGCUCCUCUCUGAGGCAGCCCCAGAGCACCUGCCGCUUCUCCAGGCUGGCGCCCGCCACCUCCCCCUCCUGCACGCAGCUGCCCUCCCCGCGGACUUGCUCAUCCUCCGGCCACGUGAGCUGAUGGGGAAGGUGAGGCAGGCGUGAUGAUGACCCGAGUGCAGGACGCAGCCUCUGCACAGCGCCAGCCUCGUGGGGAGUGUCCCCCCCCAGGAGGCCCAGACAUGAGCGGCAGGCGGGCAGGGCGUAGGAGCUGAGGAGUCCCCGGCUGUGCCCGUGAAAUCAGUGCCCCGCGUGGGGUGGCCAGGGUGCCUCGGGGGCCGGAGGUCGGGACAGCCACCCCGACAGGCUCUCACGGUGCCAGCCCCCGGCGGCCUGGGGGAUUAUGACUUAUUGUUUUUAAAGUGCCCUGUUGUUAUUUUCUGAUUACCAAAGCGAUACACGCUCAUGAUAAAGACCUUUAAGCACCGAGUGGGUGGUUAUGAGCUGGCUUCAGGGAUGGGGAGGUGACGCACUGCAUCGAGAUUCAUCAGUAUCAGCAGCAGGAGGACAAAAAGGAUUUAGUCAGCUUCCCCCGGGGACACAGGAGGGUAGGGAGGCUGGCAGACAGACGGGGUCUGCACCCUGGCCCCUCCCAACCUAAAGUUGACCCCAAAUGCUGGUGUUUUCUGCACAACAUUGGUGGGGGCAGGAGUGGCGACAGGAGCGGGCGUGGUCCCCAGCGCUGCUUCAGCUCUUGCUUUUCUGGGUGGGGGAGACAAGGGCUGGGCUGUCCUGGUCCCCUGGGGCGCCCUGGGUUAGGGGAGGCUGCUCAGAGCUGGUGGGUGCAUUCUGGGCUGGCGUGCGUGAAGCAGGGGUCCCGCGGGGGGUGUACCCUGUGUUUCUGGGGCCCUACUUUUCAGGCUGAGCCCCUCCCUACAGCCCACGGGUCACUAUGUUCAUUCUCAUGCAGUCUCACCAUGGGCUGCUGAUGUGGACAUUGCAACCCCAUUUUACAGGCGAGGAACGGAGGCCUGGGAGCGAAAUCCACACAUUACUCCAUAGUUGAGUUUGAUCUGAACCUGGUGUUGUCUGGCAGCAGAAGCCCCUGUUCUCUCCAGUUCAUCGUGCUGCCUUGCAGGAAAGCGGGUCAGGCAGGCCGGGGUCAGUGGCUCGGAGGUCGGAGGAGGCCGGCCAGGUCUGCCGUCAGACCUGCAGCUGAGACCCACUCUUCCCAUACUGCUUUGGGGUGGAUGGCACAGCUUGGUGCUAAGAGCAGGGAUUCUGCCUUCAGACUGCUCAGGUCUGAAUUUCAGUUCUGCUGAGUACUAGCUGUGUGCCCUUGGCCUCUCUGAGCCUUAGUUCCUCAUCUGGAAGAACGGAUGAUGAGCACCCUACUCCUGAGCUGCUGUGAGGAUUGACUGAGGUGGUCUGUGGGUCUGUGGAGGCUGGCGGUGAUCAUGGAGGCAGGGUGGAACAGGGUUAAGAAUGUCCACCUCAGAGCGAGACCCAUCUUAACUCGAAGAGGUCACCCCUUCCUGGCUGGGGUACUGAGGAAGUACCGGGCUGGGUGCUUGGCCCAGAGCCUGGCACAUGGCUGCGCCCCACAGGGUGGUGAUGGCGUCCCCACUGUCUUUCUUUUCUAUUCCCAUACUCACGAGGCUGCUAGCAAGCCAUGCCUCCCCCCAGGCCGGUCAGAAGGACUCUCAGGUGCCCUAAUGUCCACCGGGACUCCAGGAAGCACCUAGAACCAUUGCUGGGUUCUUGGGACCUGAGUCAAGUUCCUGCACAUUCUUUUUCUGGUCAGACCUCAGCCAGGACUCAUUUUGGGUCUAAGGUCCUGGCCUGGGUGUUGGAGCCCCACUGUCUGCCUGGGGGACUUCCCUGGCCCUGGGAUCCCCCUGCCUGCUGCCUGCAUCCCUCCUGCCUGCAGGGGCAGCCUCCUCCUCUGCCCUCUCAGGGGUCAUUCCAAGCCCUUUCCCACCUCCCAGCACCUUGCCCGCACUCAGCUCUCCAGGCCCUGACCUUACGACAUGAUGCUGCUGCCCCUCUUUGGGGAGCAGGGGCUCCCAGAACCCAGGGAUCACCAGACAGUGGGUGUGACCUCCGGGCACCUAACUUGUUUUUCCUGGUGCCCUCUUGCGGACUGCAUUCCAUCAGGUCUGACACACAUUUCUUCCAGGCCUUGGUGUGACCCUUUGGGCGAAGGUGACCAGAUUGAGGGAAACUCCCCCCAAGCCCCUGCAGUGAGCUGGAUGCUGUGCCCCGGGUCUGGCCCACAGAAGGUCUCUGGUGUUCCAAAGGGCCCAGGGAUGGACACACUUGGCAGGCUUAGAGAUGCCUGGGUUCUGCGCCAGGGAGGAGAGCUUGGGAAAAGUGUGUCAGAAGGGGUCUGGGUGCUGAGAAGAGAGGAGCCCAAGUGCAGAACUCUGGUGGGCGCUGCAGUCAGCACUGGGUGCCUCAAGGGGGCCCUUAGAGUCUCCGGUUGGGACACUUUACAGGGGUGUUGCAGGUGCUUGAACAACUUACCUCCAAGUUACCUGUUUUCUGUUGCUUCGUUGGUGCUGGUGAAACCAAAUUUGCUGGCUUCCUUGGGUUUUGCUGUGUGUUUUACUGUUUGGCUAAUUAAUCUUGGUCUGACACAUUUUCUCUGUUGAAGAAAACAUUCAUGGGUGUUCGGCAUGAAAAAUACCAUUGCUGGAUUUUCGGGCCCCUCCAAACAUUUAGGAGAUGCUUGUCAAAGCUGGGCUGGGUGUGAAGUCCCUCUCCGGGCCAGGCCCAGCUCGGAACCACCUCUGACCCAGAGUCUAGCUGGAGGCUGGCAGGGGGCAGGUGACAUGUGUUUGUUGAGUGAAUAGACGACCUGGAUGGGGGCCGGGGGUCCUGAGAAGGCGAGAGGAGCCGGGCGGGAGGAUGCGGCCACAUCAGUCCCACACCUUUGCAAAAAGGGUGCAUCUUAGUGUAUAAGUGUGUCUUAUUUAUUUGAAAUCAGACAGUAGUUCUUGAAGAGUCUCAUAAAAAUUAAAAUUAAUGAAAUCCAAGUCCCCUUUGAUCCUGUCCCUGGUGCGCUCACUGUUUGGUUUUGGCGCACAUUUCAUCAGACUUUCCUUGUGUGACUUGCAUACAAGCAUGUGUCUAUACAAACGCAUCGUCUGAGUUUUGUGCCUCUGUGUGCCUGCCUUUAAAUCAAAUGGUGUCAUUCCGUACGUAUCACCCCGUAAACUGCCUUUUCCCUCGAGCAAACUACAUCUUGGAGAUCUGCCCUGCGACCUGCUACCGCCUCGCAGGACCUGGAGCUGCAGUGGCUGGCCACAACGGGGAUCCUCGCAUCCCUUUUACGGGUGAGGAAGUCAA